rnacentral:rRNA from 1 species
UAAAGGUGCCCUCUGUAUAUGGUACCGCUUCACGAUGGGUCUGCGUCCGAUUAGCUAGAUGGCGGGGUAAUGGCCCACCAUGGCGACGAUCGGUAGCCGGACUGAGAGGUUGAACGGCCACAUUGGGACUGAGACACGGCCCAGACUCCUACGGGAGGCAGCAGUGGGGGAUAUUGCACAAUGGGCGAAAGCCUGAUGCAGCAACGCCGCGUGAGGGAAGAAGGUAUUCGUAUUGUAAACCUCUGUCAUUGGUGAAGAAAAAAAUGACGGUAGCCGAUGAGGAAGCCACGGCUAACUACGUGCCAGCAGCCGCGGUAAUACGUAGGUGGCAAGCGUUGUCCGGAAUUACUGGGUGUAAAGGGUGCGCAGGCGGGGAUGCAAGUUGGAUGUGAAACCUAUGGGCUUAACCCAUAGCCUGCAUCCAAAACUGUAUUUCUUGAGUGGAGUAGAGGCAGGCGGAAUUCCGAGUGUAGCGGUGAAAUGCGUAGAUAUUCGGAGGAACACCAGUGGCGAAGGCGGCCUGCUGGGCUCUAACUGACGCUGAGGCACGAAAGCAUGGGGAGCAAACAGGAUUAGAUACCCUGCUAGUCCAUGCCCGUAAACGAUGAUUGCUAAGGUGUGGGAGUCUGACCCCUUUCCGUGCCGGAGUUACACAUAAGCAUCACUGGGGGGAGUACCGUUCG